GUUAUUGUGGCGUGGUGGUUUGAGCAUUGGAUUAUGACUCUGAAGACCAGGGUUCAAAUCCCAGCUUAGCCA